rnacentral:snRNA from 1 species
CUUCUUUCCUGGCAGGGGAGACACCAUGAUCAUGAAGGUGGUUAUCCUAGGGUAAGACUUAUCCAUUGCCCUCCAGAUGUGCUGGCCCCUGCAAUUUCUGCAAAUGCCAGAAACUUGCAUGCAUAAUUUGUGGUAGUAGAGAGCGGCUUUCAUGAUCUCCCC